GCAAGAAAAAAUGAUGGUCUAGGAUCCUCGCAGGAGCCUCACUGACCCACAGUAAUCAAAUAAUCAGAACUAAACUAACCACUCUUCUCUUUUCUGCAUUCCAGAUUGCAAAGCGACCUAUUUUUUUAGAAGUGGGGAAGAGGAAGGUGUAGUCAACAUAUUGAGAGAAGAAAAGCUGAAAAAAUAGAAGAGAAUGACAUUAUUUAAGCCUGUGAAUACUUUUACGUCUAAAGUCACAUUAAUGCCUGGUCCUACUGGGUCCAUAAACCAAUACGGACUCUUAAAGAGUCACAGUGUUGUCCAUCUCAGUAAAUGGAAGGCCAAGGUGGGAGGAUCACUUGAGCCCAGGAGGUCAAAGCUGCAGAGAGAGCUAUGAUUACACCACUGAACUCCAGCUUUUAUUAAGACCCUGUCUUAACAAAAACAACAACAACUACAACAACAACAAAGAACAUUAUUGAGAAAAUGAAAAUGCAACCUACAAAAUGGGAGAGAAUAUUUGCAAAUCACAUAUUUGAAAAAGGUCUAGUAUCUAGAAUAUAUAAAUCACUCUUACAACUCACUAACAAAAGGAAAAAAAAGGGGCAAAAGAUUUGAAUAAGUGUAACUCCCAAAAAGAUACAUGAAUACAAAUAUCAAUAAGUACAUGCAAAGAUGUUUAACAUCAUUGGGGGUUAGAAAAAUGAAAAUCAAAAUCAUAAUGACAUACCACCCACCUGAAUUACUAUAAUUUUUUUAAAUCAGAAUAUAAAAGGAAUUGCUGAUAAUGUAUUAAAAUUGGAACCCUCAUACAUUGCUAGUGGAAGGUAUAUUGGUAUAGACAUUGUGGAAAACAGUUUGGUAUUUCUUAAAAAAAUAAGU
rnacentral:lncRNA from 1 species